AAAGUCGUAACAAGGUUUCCGUAGGUGAACCUGCGGAAGGAUCAUUAACACUCUUUAAAAAUCCAACGUGUCUUAAACAUCCGUUUUAAGACAUAAACCCCCUUUUUUUAAAAAAGCGAACUAAAACGAAGGAUUUAUUUCUCUUCGUUUCUUUUUUUUUUCUUUUCUAUUUUUUUACUAUUAAACCCAAUUGAAUUUUUUAGACUGAAACUUUUUUUUUUCCUUCUGGAAACAGAGAAAAAAAUAAAAAAAAACAAAAUGCUAUACAACUCUUAACAACGGAUAUCUUGGUUCUC
rnacentral:misc_RNA from 1 species